rnacentral:rRNA from 1 species
UACGUAGGCAGCGAGCGUUGUUCGGAGUUACUGGGCGUAAAGGGUGUGUAGGCGGUUGUUUAAGUUUGGUGUGAAAUCUCCCGGCUCAACUGGGAGGGUGCGCCGAAUACUGAGCGACUAGAGUGCGGGAGAGGAAAGCGGAAUUCCCGGUGUAGUGGUGAAAUGCGUAGAUAUCGGGAGGAACACCAGAGGCGAAAGCGGCUUUCUGGGCUGUAACUGACGCUGAGGCGCGAAGGCUAGGGGAGCAAACAGG